CGCGGAGUGGAGCAGUUGGUAGCUCGUCGGGCUCAUAACCCGAAGGCCGUAGGUUCAAGUCCUAUCUCCGCCA
rnacentral:tRNA from 1 species